CGAAGAACCUUACCAGGUCUUGACAUCCCGAUGCUAUUUCUAGAGAUAGAAAGUUACUUCGGUACAUCGGUGACAGGUGGUGCAUGGUUGUCGUCAGCUCGUGUCGUGAGAUGUUGGGUUAAGUCCCGCAACGAGCGCAACCCCUAUUGUUAGUUGCCAUCAUUCAGUUGGGCACUCUAGCGAGACUGCCGGUAAUAAACCGGAGGAAGGUGGGAUGACGUCAAAUCAUCAUGCCCCUUAUGACCUGGGCUACACACGUGCUACAAUGGUUGGUACAACGAGUUGCGAGUCGGUGACGGCGAGCUAAUCUCUUAAAGCCAAUCUCAGUUCGGAUUGUAGGCUGCAACUCGCCUACAUGAAGUCGGAAUCGCUAGUAAUCGCGGAUCAGCACGCCGCGGUGAAUACGUUCCCGGGCCUU
rnacentral:rRNA from 1 species